CUAUUUCUUCUUUAUUCUUCUUCUCUCUUCUUCUCUCCUCUCCUUCUUCCCCUAUUCUUCUUCCUCUGCGAGUUUGAGAGUUUGUGUGUGAGAGAGAGAGACAAUCGUUGAGUUAGAGCAGAUGAAUUAGAAGAUGUUGCUGAUGAUUGAUGAAGAGAUGAGAGUAGUAUUGAUUCUUGGAUAUCGGUUGAAGAAUUUGGGGUUUCUGAGAUUUGAUUCUGAGAUGAGUUCGAAGAUAAAAGUGAGGUUAUAGAGGGAUGAUUAGAGAUGGGCUUAAACUGAAUUAGAGUUUGAAGUUAAAGAAUUACUUAGAAUUCAUAAGUUAGGGUUUCUCACAGAAUCGAAUUGGAGUUUGAUUAGUGAUGGGUAAUAUGUGUGCUGGUGAAUUAAAGGAGUUAUUGACGCUGCUGAAGUUGUUUAAGUCGUAGAGAAGAAGAUGAUGAUGUUAUGGUAAAAUUAAGGUUAGGGUUCUCAACUAUUGAUAAAGAAGAUGUAAGUGAGGAUUUAGAGGAUCGUUUGGAGAUGGGUUCUGUUGAUAUGAAGAUUUGGUUUUGGUUCGAAUUAGAGAAGAGAAGAGAAGAUUUGGGAAUUGAAUUGGGGAUUAAUUGAGAAUUGAUGGUGAUGAUGGAGAGGUUUUAGUAUUGGAUGAAUUGAAUUGGGGGUUUGUUCUUAGUCUUUAGGUGUUUUGCUGAACUGAGUCUAGUGAAGGAGAAAUUGAAGUCCAACUGCUUGAGAAGAUUUAUCUUGAGGUAAUUGUUUGUUCCCAGUAAAUAUAGUUUGACUUUUACUUCAGUUUGAGUUUAUGAGAUUGCUAAUCAUAUUAGAAUUGAAAUGAGUUUAGCUGGGAUGAAGUAAUGAAUAUUGAGGUAUAUAAUGAAAAUAUUGGUGAAAUGAUUUGUAGAAUGUAGUUGUAUUUGUUAUUGCAAAACUGGUAUUGGAGAUGGAAGUAUUAGUGGAGCUGUAAUUGUAAAUUGUGGUGGUGACUAUGAAUGUAAGAACUGUUGCAGGCAUGGAUGAAUCUUUAGCAAAUACACUUUUGUGUGUAUGUGUGUGUAUUGGGAAGAAUCAGAGGAUCAAGGUGUAGUAAUGUUGGUGGUGAUGGUGUUGCAGUUCAUGGAGUUUGUGGUGUCACUGAAAUGGGUGUAUGAACUGUUGUAGGUGCCAUAGAGAUUAAGCCAGUGUAUGUGUGUGUGGAAUUGGAACUGGGAGUUGGAAAUGUGGAUGGUGGUAGAAACGGAAGUGAAGGCAGUGUAUGGAGUUAGGGUAUUUGGUGAGAAGUUGCAGGUGGUGUGGAUUUAGUAAAGUACUUGACUCUGGAAAUGGUUGAGAAUUGAGUUAAGAUGUUUCAGUAGUUGGUUGUAGUACUUGUGAGGGUGUAGUGAUCUGAAGUUACAGGCAGGGAAGGUGUAAUUGAGAUGCAGUUGUAGGAUUAUAGUUAAGUGAUUGCUGUAAAAAGCUUAAAGCUGCAAUUGCAGUGGUCGACUUCAAAGGACAAAUUAGUUGAUCGUGGAUCUCGAGGUAGGCGUGGCUUGUCAUCAAAAGAGAGGCAGAUCAGAGUUGCGCAACGAAAGCUUCAAGGAGUUGACUCCGUUAAUUAGUUAACUUCUGCUAUGUUUAUUAUGUUAUUUAUUCUAUUUGCAAACCAAAUGAUUAUUGUAUAUGUAUCAUUUGAGAGGAAUUCUUGUAUAUAUUUCUGAGAAGGGUUAAUUUUUGGGUUAAGUUUUGUAACACUUUUUUUAAUUGAAUGUUUAAGUAAAUGAUUUAGAUUCUUA